GGACAUGUCAGUUUCCCUCCCAACAAUGGGGUCUAUGCAAAUUGCUGGGAGCAAUGGGUUUGGUCACAACAUAGAGUUUAUGUCUCAAGCCUACCUUAGGAACAGGUUCUCAGAAAUUGAUAUAGAGGAUGAUAGCUUGACUAUGAAUAAAGAUGGCCCUCUUCCCAUAUUUCUCAAGUUUGAAGAUGUGGUAUAUAGAGUGAGGAAUAGCCCAGCUUCCUCUGCCAAUCCUGUGAA
rnacentral:misc_RNA from 1 species